AUUGAGAGCUUGUAUGAAGGGUUGGACGAGAUAAAAUCUGUCUUUAUUUAAAUUACAAUAAAAUUUAACUUUUAAGUCAAAAGGCUUAAAUGUGUAUAAAAGACGAGAAGACCCUAUAGAUCUUUAUUUAGUUAAUAUUUUAAUAAUUUAGGAUUAUUUUAAUUUAAAGUUUUAAUUAAAUUUUAUUGGGGUAAUAUAAAGAUUAAAUAAAUUCUUUUUAUUUAUUACAUUAAUUUAUGAACUUGUGAUCCAAUAUUAUUGAUUAUAAGAUUAAGUUACCUUAGGGAUAACAGCGUAAUUUUUUUGGAGAGCUCAUAUCGAUAAAAAAGUUUGCGACCUC
rnacentral:rRNA from 1 species